rnacentral:rRNA from 1 species
GUGCCAGCAGCCGCGGUAAGACAGAGGGCUCAAACGUUGUUCGGAAUUACUGGGCAUAAAGCGCACGUAGGCGGCUCACUCAGUCGGUUGUGAAAUCCCUCGGCUCAACCGAGGAACUGCAUCCGAUACUGGUGGGCUCGAGGACGGGAGGGGUAAGUGGAACUCCAGGUGGAACGGUGAAAUGUGUAGAUAUCUGGAGGAACACCGGUGGCGAAAGCGGCUUACUGGCCCGUAUCUGACGCUGAUGUGCGAAAGCUAGGGGAGCAAACGGGAUUAGAUACCCUUGUAGUCC